GACAGAGGCCUCAAGCGUUAGGCGGAAUCACUGGGCUUAAAGCGUGUGUAGGCGGGCCCGUAAGUGUCUUGUGAAAUCCCACGGCUCAACCGUGGAACUGCUGGGCAUACUGCGGGUCUUGGGCCAACUAGGGGCAGCCGGAACAAGCGGUGGAGCGGUGAAAUGCGUAGAUAUCGCUUGGAACGCCGAAGGUGAAAACAGGCUGCUGGGGUUGCGCCGACGCUGAGACACGAAAGCCAGGGGAGCAAACGGG
rnacentral:rRNA from 1 species